rnacentral:lncRNA from 1 species
CUGUUACUCUAUCAAAAAGGUAAUGAUAAUCCUUUACAUCUGUGAAAAGUAAAUAUAUACAUAUUGGAAUUGUGACUUCCUUAACAGUUUGUUGGUGUUGAUAGAAGUUACCAUGGAGAAACUGCUGGGGUCCCAUGGCUGCUGUGAAUAGCAGGGAACAGUCCUGUCCUUGUCCACCUGCUGCUUGCCCCCAUGUCUCAGUCCGUGCCUGGCACAUUGAGGGCCAGUUCUACUUCUACCUGUUGUGACACAGUAUGUAGGAAAUUGCCUCCUUGAGGAUGAAGGACUGUCUAUUAUAGGAUUCUAUGCAAAGAUUCAGAGAGCUUCUGGAAUAACUACUUGGAUCUGGUAACCCUCAGCAGAAAGAAGCCCAGCAGCUCCCUGUCACACACCCCACUUGAAUGAUAACCAGCGUUGGUGCAAGACAUUUGUCAGGGAGCCUAACAAGCUAUCUGGAUGCCAACAAACUCCACAUUCAGCUCCUCUAGUGCUCUGGGAAACCCAGGGUGUUAAAAGGAGAGCCCCUUAUAGCAGCAAACCCCAGGAGAACCUCACCCUUACCCAGUGGGGAAUCUGCAGUGUUGGGAUGGAGAGAGGGAUCCUUCAACAAUGGGAGGAGGAGACAAAAAGCAACGGUCCUAAAGUGCUGACUAUGAUCCUGGACACCAGGAACAGCCUCCUGGUCAAAUUCUGCAGCUCCAACCAAGAAGGAAACCCUUUUGGAAGGAGGCAUAAUGAUGACAAGUGACCAGCCCACCACCACCCCCAGCAGAGAACGAUCACUGCAGAGCUUCCUCUCCUCACACCAGCGUCCAUCUCAUUUGCUGUACUGCAGCCUUCAAAAUCCCUGCAGAGCAGCUGUAUUAUUUUUGCUAAUAAGAAUGUGACGUUUCAUUGUUGACUUCCACAGACACUUAAAUAUAGCUUUAGCAAAUUAAUUUUGCAAAACAAAAAGUGACUAGCCAAAUAAACUCCACCACAGCUUGACA